GAUGAACGCUGACAGAAUGCUUAACACAUGCAAGUCAACUUGAAUUUGGGUUUUUAACUUCGGUUUGGGUGGCGGACGGGUGAGUAACGCGUAAAGAACUUGCCUCACAGCUAGGGACAACAUUUGGAAACGAAUGCUAAUACCUAAUAUUAUGAUAAUAGGGCAUCCUAUAAUUAUGAAAGCUAUAAGCGCUGUGAGAGAGCUUUGCGUCCCAUUAGCUAGUUGGAGAGGUAACGGCUCACCAAGGCGAUGAUGGGUAGCCGGCCUGAGAGGGUGAUCGGCCACAAGGGGACUGAGACACGGCCCUUACGCCUACGGGAGGCAGCAGUGGGGAAUAUUGGACAAUGGACCGAGAGUCUGAUCCAGCAAUUCUGUGUGCACGAUGAAGUUUUUCGGAAUGUAAAGUGCUUUCAGUUGGGAAGAAACAAAUGACGGUACCAACAGAAGAAGUGACGGCUAAAUACGUG
rnacentral:rRNA from 1 species